rnacentral:rRNA from 1 species
GUCCAGACUCCUACGGGAGGCAGCAGUAGGGAAUAUUGCUCAAUGGGGGAAACCCUGAUGCAGCGACGCCGCGUGAGUGAAGAAGUACUUCACUAUGUAAAGCUCUAUCAGCAGGGAAGAAAAUGACGGUACCUGAGUAAGAAGCCCCGGCUAACUACGUGCCAGCAGCCGCGGUAAUACGUAGGGGGCAAGCGUUAUCCGGAUUUACUGGGUGUAAAGGGAGCGUAGACGGCAGUGCAAGUCUGGAGUGAAAGGCGGGGGCUCAACCCCCGGACUGCUCUGGAAACUGUACGGCUGGAGUGCAGGAGAGGUAAGUGGAAUUCCUAGUGUAGCGGUGAAAUGCGUAGAUAUUAGGAGGAACACCAGUGGCGAAGGCGGCUUACUGGACUGUAACUGACGUUGAGGCUCGAAAGCGUGGGGAGCAAACAGGAUUAGAUACCCUGGUAGU